rnacentral:rRNA from 1 species
AGAGUUUGAUCAUGGCUCAGAGCGAACGCUGGCGGCAGGCCUAACACAUGCAAGUCGAACGGACCCUUCGGGGUUAGUGGCGGACGGGUGAGUAACACGUGGGAACGUGCCUUUAGGUUCGGAAUAGCUCCUGGAAACGGGUGGUAAUGCCGAACGUGCCCUUCGGGGGAAAGAUUUAUCGCCUUUAGAGCGGCCCGCGUCUGAUUAGCUAGUUGGUGAGGUAACGGCUCACCAAGGCGACGAUCAGUAGCUGGUCUGAGAGGAUGACCAGCCACACUGGGACUGAGACACGGCCCAGACUCCUACGGGAGGCAGCAGUGGGGAAUCUUGCGCAAUGGGCGAAAGCCUGACGCAGCCAUGCCGCGUGAAUGAUGAAGGUCUUAGGAUUGUAAAAUUCUUUCACCGGGGACGAUAAUGACGGUACCCGGAGAAGAAGCCCCGGCUAACUUCGUGCCAGCAGCCGCGGUAAUACGAAGGGGGCUAGCGUUGCUCGGAAUUACUGGGCGUAAAGGGCGCGUAGGCGGAUCGUUAAGUCAGAGGUGAAAUCCCAGGGCUCAACCCUGGAACUGCCUUUGAUACUGGCGAUCUUGAGUAUGAGAGAGGUAUGUGGAACUCCGAGUGUAGAGGUGAAAUUCGUAGAUAUUCGGAAGAACACCAGUGGCG